GAUGAACGCUAGCGGCAGGCCUAACACAUGCAAGCCGAGGGGUAACAGGGAGCUUGCUCCGCUGACGACCGGCGCACGGGUGAGUAACGCGUAUGCAACCUACCGUACACAGGGGGAUAGCCCGGUGAAAACCGGAUUAACACCCCAUAAAGCAGGGGCCCCGCAUGGGGGUAUUUGCUAAAGGCAACGGUGUACGAUGGGCAUGCGUGACAUUAGCUAGAUGGGGGGGUAACGCCACAUGGCAACGAUGUCUAGGGGUUCUGCAAGGAAGGUCCCCACACUGGUACUGAGACACGGACCAGACUCCUACGGGAGGCAGCAGUGAGGAAUAUGGUCAAUGGGUGAGAGCCUGAACCAGCCAUGCCGCGUGCAGGAUUAAGGCCCU
rnacentral:rRNA from 1 species